UAUCGUAAUAAGCAGUAAUUCGUUAUAACCGAUAUCGAUAUAACGAGACUUUACUGUAUUUGCAUGACAUGUUAUUAAUACGGGCUGCUAAUGUUUACAGAGCAACUGUACUAUAUAUUUCCGGGCUGUGAAAUGAUUCAUAAAUCCCACUUUUCCAAGGAAUUAACCAUGAUUAGGCACCAGCUGAAUCAAAUCAAUCAAUCAAUCAAAGCCGAACGUCCCUCCCCUUUUAUGCAGCACACACGCACAAAUGAAGUAAAGCAGGAAACUGUUCAUUAAAAGAUAAGUUUAUCAUGCAAUUCAGAAUGCCAAGGAAGGCGUCACAAAUGGUCAUUUUUCCCCAACAAAACAUAGAAAACGGAUCUGAAAAGCUUGUGACGCAUUUGAAGACACGAUGGAAAAAAAGCACAGCGUAGGACUACCAUGACUUUUACAGGGGGACAAAGAGGGCUACAGCUAUGGAGCCAGCAGAGGGUGCUGUCUCCCAAGUCAAGUCUCACAACAUUUUCCAGCAGGAAGAUGCUUUGAAAAGACGUGAUGUUGAAGGGCAGUUAUAGUCACUAGCAGCAAGUAGAAAACACGUCCCACCACUCCGGCGGUCUUGUUCCCGGGUGCUGGAUCUUCGCAUGGGGACCCUUUCCUCUGUUGACGUGGUCAGGUCACUGCCGCCGCUGCAGUCCGCCGACACAACUCUGAAGAUGGUGAAUUGGAAGUGUAGUGAGGAGAACAUGGAGGCGGAGGGAUGAUGCGUGGCGGGGAAAAAUGAGCAGUUUUGCUACAUGACAAGGAAAAGAGUUUUCCCUUUUUUUGCAUAGUUUUAUGUACCAAGUAUCAUCUAAUCACUCCUCAGUAGUAGUACUAGUUUUAAUUUGAUAACACAGUGGAACCUUGGUUAACAUCCUGAGGUCCGACUGUAACCAAAACGAGCCCAUUGCUAGUAAUCGACGCGAUGGGCGUCUCUCACAGUUAUGAAAGUUAAUAAUCACAAGCAUACAGUAUGUAGUAUUAUACUCUCAAAGUGUGCAGUUACACAACAGCACAUCUUGUAAAGCUUCUUCUUGCUGGGAAAUGUUGAGUGAAUUGACUUGAGACAGCACCCUCUAGUGGAGUCAUAGCUGCAGCACUUUUUUCCCCCUCCUGCAGAUAGUGCCAUCAACACAGAUGCAUCUGCUGUGUGUGUGUGUGUGUACUAGUACAGUAUGUGUGUGUAUACACAUUGAAUAUACAGUAUUUGCAAAUACCAUAUUAUAUCAAUUUUUUUAUUUUAAAAAAAGUAUAACAAAGGGGGUUCCACAUACAGUAUUAUAUUAUCAUACAAUUCCAUAUGACAGAAGAAUUGCUGUUCCCCUUGUUGUCAUGCCCCCCCCAAACACACACAGACACCCUGCACCCUUUCCUCAUUAUGCAGCCGUGCUUUGAGA